rnacentral:rRNA from 1 species
UGUUUUUAAGGUUUUCCGUAGGUGACCUGCGGAAGGAUCAUUAGUGAACGCCCUCACGGGCUUAUAACUAUUCCAAACCUCUGUGAACCGUGCCCUUCGGGGCUAUUUUACAAACAUGGUGUAAUGAACGUCAUAUAUCAUAACAAAACAAAACUUUCAACAACGGAUCUCUUGGCUCUCGCAUCGAUGAAGAACGCAGCGAAAUGCGAUAAGUAAUGUGAAUUGCAGAAUUCAGUGAAUCAUCGAAUCUUUGAACGCACCUUGCGCCCUCUGGUAUUCCGGAGGGCAUGCCUGUUUGAGUGUCAUGUAGACUCAAUCCCUCGGGUUUCCGAGGAGAUUGGACUUGGGUGUUGCCGCUCUGCCGGCUCGCCUUAAAAGACUUAGCGGGAUAGCACCGUAGUCGGCGUAAUAAGUUUCGUCGGUGAAGGUUGUGAUGACUGCUUACAAUCGCCCUCGGGCAAUUUUUGACUCUGACCUCUAAUCAGGUAGGACUACCCGUUGAACUUAACUAUUCAAAUAA